rnacentral:rRNA from 1 species
AUGGAUGGGCGGCAGCUCGCCGGAGUAGCACUGGGCGGGUGGAUGGCGGCCGCUUGCCGGAGCAGCACGGACGCCGGUGCACUGGUGCCAUCACCCGUGGGCGUGGCCGGCGAGCCCAUCAAGGCCGUGCCGCUGGCUGCCGCCGCUCUCAAGGAGAGAGCUGAGCCGCCGGGGAUACGCGCACCCAAGGGCCUGCUCGCGCACCUGAGCCUCCGCAUCGACCUGCCCGUGCACUUCAUCGACGAGAAGACCGUGACCGCCACCGACGUGGAUCCGCAGCAGAACCGGUUCCGCCUCCCGAUCGACGGCGUGAUGCGCAACCUCCGCCCGGUCCUCUCCCACCUAGAUCGCCGGGCCGCCAACCUGGUGCACGUGGAAACCCCAAGACCAUGGCUGCCGAAGCUACCCAAGGUUCCUGGGGAGAAGACGAAGAAGAGAAGGGGAAGGGAGCACGACGGCCUUCCCGUGCUCGUGAUCGAGCGCUACGCCGGCAUCAGGGAGCUGCAGUUGAUGCGGUGGGAGAGCAGCGGCGUCUGCGUCAUCAAGGGAGAGGGAUACAUGGACUUCAUCAAUAACUGCGGCUUCAGUGUGGGUGACGUGGUGGAGAUCUGGGCUUUCGAGCAGAAAGCCUUGCGUUUGUUCAGCGUGGAUAUCUACCAGAAGGGGUACCAGGAGAGCCCUCUCUAG